GACGAACGCUGGCGGCGUGCUUAACACAUGCAAGUCGAACGGUAAGGCCCUUCGGGGUACACGAGUGGCGAACGGGUGAGUAACACGUGGGUGAUCUGCCCUGCACUUCGGGAUAAGCCUGGGAAACUGGGUCUAAUACCGGAUAGGACUCCUGGCUUCAUGGUUGGGGGUGGAAAGCUUUUGCGGUGUGGGAUGGGCCCGCGGCCUAUCAGCUUGUUGGUGGGGUAAUGGCCUACCAAGGCGACGACGGGUAGCCGGCCUGAGAGGGUGACCGGUCACACUGGGACUGAGAUACGGCCCAGACUCCUACGGGAGGCAGCAGUGGGGAAUAUUGCACAAUGGGCGCAAGCCUGAUGCAGCGACGCCGCGUGAGGGAUGACGGCCUUCGGGUUGUAAACCUCUUUCAGAGAGAACGAAGCGCAAGUGACGGUAGUAGCAGAAGAAGGACCGGCCAACUACGUGACAGCAGCCGCCGCAG
rnacentral:rRNA from 1 species